CGCACACAAGAUCUGAAACGGGUCCGGCAGUGAGGCCGGUCUCGUGUUCUUUGACAAUCUGGGACGUAGCGAGCGUUGUGAGACUUAUCGGUCAUCACACGUGUCGUAGAGGCUAAGGCGAAAGAAUUGAGUGUGGAACCGUGUGAUCCCGAGGCGACUUGGGGUUAUAUGGUCAAGCGAAUAAGCGCACACGGUGGAUGCCUUGGCGGUCAGAGGCGAUGAAGGACGUGGCAGCCUGCGAAAAGCUCCGGUGAGUCGGCAACAGACAUUGACCCGGAGAUGUCCGAAUGGGGAAACCCGGG
rnacentral:misc_RNA from 1 species